ACACGACUACAUUAGAUACCCGGGUAGUCCAGGGUGUAAACGCUGCGGGCUUGGUGUUGGGGGUCCUUUGAGGGCGCCCAGUGCCGGAGAGAAGUUGUUAAGCCUGCUGCUUGGGGAGUACGUCCGCAAGGAUGAAACUUAAAGGAAUUGGCGGGGGAGCACCACAACGGGUGGAGCUUGCGGUUUAAUUGGAUUCAACGCCGGAAAUCUUACCGGGACCGACAGCAACAUGAAGGCCAGGCUGAAGACUUUGCCGGAUUAGCUG
rnacentral:rRNA from 1 species